rnacentral:lncRNA from 1 species
AACAUUAUAACGGUACGGGACCGCUUUAUCUGAUACAUACGGGACAGGGCCCGCUGGCUUGAUCACAAGAGUUGACGACACUUUCUUCUUGUUUUCAUCAUACUUAAUGACAACAGGAUCAGGGAUCUUGAAUAUGGGAGUGAUAACAUAAACUUCAUCCUCAUCAUGAUUCUGAAGUAUCUCAAUCAUCCCUUGGUCUAGCAUCUCUUGGAUGUCCUUCCUCACCUUG